rnacentral:lncRNA from 1 species
UACCGAGGUUUCUGUAACGCUUAUCUAGAUCCAGAGGCUCUACAGGCACAGCAGCUCAACAGAAAAGAUGAGUGAGGAAUCCAAUGAUGACAAGAAGCCAACGACCAAGUUUGAACUAGAGCGAGAAACAGAGCUUCGAUUUGAGGUGGAGGCAUCUCAGUCAGUUCAGUUGGAGUUGCUGGCUGGCAUGGCAGAGAUCUUUGGCACAGAACUGACCAGAAACAAGAAAUUCACCUUUGAUGCUGGUGCCAAGGUGGCUGUUUUCACUUGGCAUGGCUGUUCUCUGCAAUUACAUCUCGUUUAGCAGAUGUGUUCAACCAAAGGUGUGAAGUGAAUAGAAGAGCUUCUGUGAGUGGCUGUGUCAUCAACACCUGUGGCUGGGUCAAGGGUUAUGGUUACCAGGCCCUGGUGCACGCAGCUUCAGCCUUUGAG